rnacentral:rRNA from 1 species
GACAGAGGUCCCGAGCGUUAGGCGGAAUCACUGGGCUUAAAGCGUGUGUAGGCGGAUUUGUAAGUACCUUGUGAAAUCCCACGGCUUAACCGUGGAACUGCUUGGUAUACUGCUUAUCUUGGGCCAUCUAGGGGCUACCGGAACAAACGGUGGAGCGGUGAAAUGCGUAGAUAUCGUAAGGAAGACCAGUGGCGAAGGCGGGUCUCUGGACAGUUCCUGACGCUGAGGCACGAAGGUCAGGGGAGCAAACGGG